ensembl:lncRNA
CGGCUCAUAAUGUCAGGAGUGGAAGGGUUGUAAAACCACAGGAGGCUGUUGGGGAGGACGGCUCAUAAUGUCAGGAGUGGAAGGGUUGUAAAACAGAAGGGAACUAUGUGUUUGAUACCAGUCACUUCACCACAUUCCUCCCAUCACUAUGAGCCCUUCCUCCCCAAUUAAUAAGGUGCCCCCAGUCGCAUGUGGUGUGGUACAAAAUACUAUAUGUACCGUGUUAGUGGUGUUAUAUAAAUACUAUAUGUACCGUGGCUGUGUAAUUAGUGAAUCAUUUGGAUAUACUGUAUGUAGUAGAAAAUACUAAUAGUACCGUGUUAGUGGUGAUAUAUAAAUACUAUAUGUACAAAUAAUUAAAAAAAAUAAUUGUAAGGAUAAUUAUCAGCUUUGGCUAGAAGAGCCACACUAAUGUCGGGAUUCAAUCCCAUGGUGCUUUGUCAACAACGCACCAUUUAAACCUUUCCGAUUGAACCAACAUGCAGCGAGGAAUGUGGUCUCCCCGACAGGUGCGGACUUUGCCUAUGAAUGACGUUAAUGGCGUUGUUGACGAAGCGCAGUCAGAUUGAAUCGGGGACUAACAGUGAUCUGGUUUAGUACAGGUGGACUUUAAUUAAAGGGGCAAUGCAGGAUUCAAAAGAACAACAAAGUGUUCUCCGUUAUCAUCCAAUCCCAGAUCAGGAUUAUUUAUUUAUUAGUUAUCAUUCGCUAAGAAGUCAAAAAACAGAUGUGGUCCGACCAAUCCCAGAUCAGGAUUAUUUACAUACAUAGUUUGUGAGGCACUAAUAUGGAUUUACAUAUUCCAUUACCAGGCACUUUUUAUCCACAUCAACUUUCAGUCAGUCAGUCAUUUUUACAUAUGGGGAGGCCCCAGGAAUCAAACCCACAAUCCUGGUGUUGUAAAUGCUCUACCAACUGAACCACAGAGGACAGGCUCUACCAACUGAGUCCACAGAGGACAGGUUCUACCAGCUGAGUCACAGAGGACAGGUUCUACCAACUGAACCACAGAGGACAGGUUCUACCAACUGAGCGACAGAGGACAGGCUCUACCAACUGAGCCACAGAGGACAGGCUCUACCAACUGAGUUACAGAGGACAGGUUCUACCAACUGAGCGACAGAGGACAGGCUCUACCAACUGAACCACAGAGGACAGGUUCUACCAACUGAGUCACAGAUGACAGGUUCUACCAACUGAGUUACAGAGGACAGGUUCUACCAACUGAACCACAGAGGACAGGUUCUACCAACUGAGUUACAGAGGACAGGCUCUACCAACUGAACCACAGAGGACAGGCUCUACCAACUGAGCCACAGAGGACAGGUUCUACCAACUGAGUCACAGAGGACAGGUUCUACCAACUGAGUUACAGAGGACAGGUUCUACCAACUGAGUCCACAGAGGACAGGUUCUACCAUAGAACUACAUUUUUAGAUAUGCUAAUAUCUCCUCUCACUUUUUCUUUCCCUCCCUCCAACUGUCUCCCCCUCUUUUUCUCUCCCUCUCUCCCACACCUCUCUCGGUCUCUUUCUCUCCCACUAUCCUCCCCUUUCUCUCUCCCUCUCUCCCACACCUCUCUCAGUCUCUUUCUCUCCCACUAUCCCCCCCUCUCUCCCCUCUCCCUCUCUCCCACACCUCUCUCGGUCUCUUUC